CUUAGGGAGGAGCUUGCGUCACAUUAGUUAGUUGGUGGGGUAAAGGCCUACCAAGACUAUGAUGUGUAGCCGGGCUGAGAGGUUGAACGGCCACAUUGGGACUGAGACACGGCCCAAACUCCUACGGGAGGCAGCAGUAGGGAAUUUUCGGCAAUGGAGGAAACUCUGACCGAGCAACGCCGCGUGAACGAUGAAGUAUUUCGGUACGUAAAGUUCUUUUAUUAGGGAAGAAUAAAUGAUGGAAAAAUCAUUCUGACGGUACCUAAUGAAUAAGCCCCGGCUAACUAUGUGCCAGCAGCCGCGGUAAUACAUAGGGGGCAAGCGUUAUCCGGAAUUAUUGGGCGUAAAGGGUGCGUAGGCGGUUAAAUAAGUUUAUGGUCUAAGUGCAAUGCUCAACAUUGUGAUGCUAUAAAAACUGUUUAGCUAGAGUAAGAUAGAGGCAAGUGGAAUUCCAUGUGUAGUGGUAAAAUGCGUAAAUAUAUGGAGGAACACCAGUAGCGAAGGCGGCUUGCUGGGUCUUUACUGACGCUGAGGCACGAAAGCGUGGGGAGCAAACAGGAUUAGAUACCCUGGUAGUCCACGCCGUAAACGAUGAGUACUAAACGUUGGGUAAAACCAGUGUUGAAGUUAACACAUUAAGUACUCCGCCUGAGUAGUACGUACGCAAGUAUGAAACUUNNNGAAUUGACGGGACUCCGCACAAGCGGUGGAUCAUGUUGUUUAAUUCGAAGGUACCCGAAAAACCUCACCAGGUCUUGACAUGCUUCUGCAAAACUGUAGAAACACAGUGGAGGUUAUCAGUUGCACAGGUGGNGCAUGGUUGUCGUCAGCUCGUGUCGUGAGAUGUUGGGUUAAGUCCCGCAACGAGCGCAACCCUUAUUGUUAGUUACCAGCACGUAAUGGUGGGGACUUUA
rnacentral:rRNA from 1 species